AUAAGUGGCAUUUUGUGAAGAGACGAAAACUGAGCGGUUGUGUCUGCGUUGCCGACCUCGAGCAGCAGUCGGCUUCUGCACGUAGAACCCGGGAGUAGGAGACUCAGAAUCGAAUCUCUUCUCCCUUCUCUCUCCUGUGAGAUUUUUUUGAUCUUCAGCUACAUCUUCGGCUUUGUGAGAAACCUUAUCAUCAAACACAAUGGCCAGCAACGUUACCAACAAGACAGAUCCUCGCUCCAUGAGCUCCCGUGUGUUCAUUGGGAAUCUAAACACUCUCGUGGUCAAGAAAUCUGAUGUGGAGGCAAUCUUUUCGAAGUAUGGCAAAAUUGUGGGCUGCUCUGUUCAUAAGGGCUUUGCCUUCGUUCAAUAUGUUAAUGAGAGAAAUGCCCGGGCUGCUGUAGCAGGAGAGGAUGGCAGAAUGAUUGCUGGCCAGGUUUUAGAUAUUAACCUGGCUGCAGAGCCAAAAGUGAACCGAGGAAAAGCAGGUGUGAAACGAUCUGCAGCGGAGAUGUACGGCUCCUCUUUUGACUUGGACUAUGACUUUCAACGGGAUUAUUAUGAUAGGAUGUACAGUUACCCAGCACGUGUACCUCCUCCUCCUCCUAUUGCGUGGGCUGUAGUGCCCUCGAAACGUCAGCGUGUAUCAGGAAACACCUCACGAAGGGGCAAAAGUGGCUUCAAUUCUAAGAGUGGACAGCGGGGAUCUUCCAAGUCUGGAAAGUUGAAAGGAGAUGACCUUCAGGCCAUUAAGAAGGAACUGACCCAGAUAAAACAAAAAGUGGAUUCUCUCCUGGAAAACCUGGAAAAAAUUGAAAAGGAACAGAGCAAACAAGCAGUAGAGAUGAAGAAUGAUAAGUCAGAAGAGGAGCGGAGCAGCAGCUCCGUGAAGAAAGAUGAGACUAAUGUGAAGAUGGAGUCUGAGGGGGGUGCAGAUGACUCUGCUGAGGAGGGGGACCUACUGGAUGAUGAUGAUAAUGAAGAUCGGGGGGAUGACCAGCUGGAGUUGAUCAAGGAUGAUGAAAAAGAGGCUGAGGAAGGAGAGGAUGACAGAGACAGCGCCAAUGGCGAGGAUGACUCUUAAGCACAUAGUGGGGUUUAGAAAUCUUAUCCCAUUAUUUCUUUACCUAGGUGCUUGUCUAAGAUCAAAUUUUUCACCAGAUCCUCUCCCCUAGUAUCUUCAGCACAUGCUCACUGUUCUCCCCAUCCUUGUCCUUCCCAUGUUCAUUAAUUCAUAUUUCCCUGCGCCUAGUCCCAUUUUCACUUCCUUUGACGCUCCUAGUAGUUUUUGUUAAGUCUUACCCUGUAAUUUUUGCUUUUAAUUUUGAUACCUCUUUAUGACUUAACAAUAAAAAGGAUGUAUGGUUUUUAUCAACUGUCUCCAAAAUAAUCUCUCGUUAUGAAGGGAGUACAGUUCUUUUCAUUCAUACAUACGUUCAGUAGUUGCUUCCCUAACUGCAAAGGCAAUCUCAUUUAGUUGAGUAGCUCCUGAAAGCAGCUUUGAGUUAGAAGUAUGUGUGUUACACCCCAACAUUAGUGUGCUGUGUGGGGCAGUUCAACACAAAUGUAACGAUGUAUUUUUGUGAAUGAGAGUUGGCAUGUCAAAUGCAUCCUCUAGAAAAAUAGUGUUAUAGUCUUAAGAUUUGUUUUCUAAAGUUGAUACUGUGGGUUAUUUUUGUGAACAGCCUGAUGUUUGGGACCCUUUUUCUUCAAAAUAAACAAGUCCUUAUUAAACCAGGAAUUUGGAAAAAAAAAAAAAAAAAAAAAAA